rnacentral:rRNA from 1 species
AGAGUUUGAUCCUGGCUCAGAACGAACGCUGGCGGCGCGUCUUAAGCAUGCAAGUCGAACGGCAAGGAAGUGCUUGCACUUCCCUAGAGUGGCGGACUGGUGAGUAACACGUGGGUGACAUACCUUUUAGUUGGGGAUAGCUAUUAGAAAUAGUAGAUAAUACCGAAUGUGACCAUUACAGUUAGAGUGUAAUGAGGAAAGGAGCUAAGGCUCCGCUAAAAGAUUGGCCCGCGGCCCAUUAGCUAGUUGGUGAGGUAACGGCCCACCAAGGCGAUGAUGGGUAUCCGGCCUGAGAGGGUGAUCGGACACAUUGGGACUGAGAUACGGCCCAGACUCCUACGGGAGGCAGCAGCUAAGAAUAUUCCACAAUGGACGAAAGUCUGAUGGAGCGACGCCGCGUGGAUGAUGAAGGCCGAAAGGUUGUAAAAUCCUUUUAAACUGGAAGAAUAAUCAUGGUAGGGAAUGACCGUGAGGUGACCGUACAGUUUGAAUAAGCAACGGCUAAUUACGUGCCAGCAGCCGCGGUAACACGUAAGUUGCGAGCGUUGUUCGGAAUUAUUGGGCGUAAAGGGCAUGUAGGCGGUUUUGAAAGCUUGAUGUGAAAUCCCACAGCUUAACUGUGGAACUGCAUUGAGAACUACAAGACUAGAGUUACUGAAGGGAAACUAGAAUUCCAAGUGUAGGGGUGAAAUCUGUAGAUAUUUGGAAGAAUACCAAUGGCGAAGGCAAGUUUCUGGCAGAUAACUGACGCUGAGGUGCGAAGGUGCGGGGAGCAAACAGGAUUAGAUACCCUGGUAGUCCGCACAGUAAACGAUGUACACUAGGUGUUUGACCAUGAGGUUGGGUGCCAAAGCUAACGUGAUAAGUGUACCGCCUGGGAAGUAUGCCCGCAAGGGUGA